UCCUAGCACUCAAGCAGAAACGGCAGG
rnacentral:piRNA from 1 species